GAUUAAGUUAUUAAGGGCGCACGGUGGAUGCCUUGGCACUAGAAGCCGAUGAAGGACGUUACUAACGACGAUAUGCUUUGGGGAGCUGUAAGUAAGCUUUGAUCCAGAGAUUUCCGAAUGGGGAAACCCAGCAUGAGUUAUGUCAUGUUAUCGAUAUGUGAAUACAUAGCAUAUUAGAAGGCACACCCGGAGAACUGAAACAUCUUAGUACCCGGAGGAAGAGAAAGAAAAUUCGAUUCCCUUAGUAGCGGCGAGCGAAACGGGAAGAGCCCAAACCAACAAGCUUGCUUGUUGGGGUUGUAGGACACUCUAUACGGAGUUACAAAGGACGACAUUAGACGAAUCAUCUGGAAAGAUGAAUCAAAGAAGGUAAUAAUCCUGUAGUCGAAAAUGUUGUCUCUCUUGAGUGGAUCCUGAGUACGACGGAGCACGUGAAAUUCCGUCGGAAUCUGGGAGGACCAUCUCCUAAGGCUAAAUACUCUCUAGUGACCGAUAGUGAACCAGUACCGUGAGGGAAAGGUGAAAAGCACCCCGGAAGGGGAGUGAAAUAGAACCUGAAACCGUGUGCUUACAAGUAGUCAGAGCCCGUUAAUGGGUGAUGGCGUGCCUUUUGUAGAAUGAACCGGCGAGUUACGAUUUGAUGCAAGGUUAAGCAGUAAAUGUGGAGCCGUAGCGAAAGCGAGUCUGAAUAGGGCGUUUAGUAUUUGGUCGUAGACCCGAAACCAGGUGAUCUACCCUUGGUCAGGUUGAAGUUCAGGUAACACUGAAUGGAGGACCGAACCGACUUACGUUGAAAAGUGAGCGGAUGAACUGAGGGUAGCGGAGAAAUUCCAAUCGAACCUGGAGAUAGCUGGUUCUCUCCGAAAUAGCUUUAGGGCUAGCCUCAAGUGAUGAUUAUUGGAGGUAGAGCACUGUUUGGACGAGGGGCCCCUCUCGGGUUACCGAAUUCAGACAAACUCCGAAUGCCAAUUAAUUUAACUUGGGAGUCAGAACAUGGGUGAUAAGGUCCGUGUUCGAAAGGGAAACAGCCCAGACCACCAGCUAAGGUCCCAAAAUAUAUGUUAAGUGGAAAAGGAUGUGGCGUUGCCCAGACAACUAGGAUGUUGGCUUAGAAGCAGCCAUCAUUUAAAGAGUGCGUAAUAGCUCACUAGUCGAGUGACACUGCGCCGAAAAUGUACCGGGGCUAAACAUAUUACCGAAGCUGUGGAUUGUCCUUUGGACAAUG
rnacentral:rRNA from 1 species